GACGGAGGAUGCAAGUGUUAUCCGGAAUCACUGGGCGUAAAGCGUCUGUAGGUUGUUUAAAAAGUCUGCAGUUAAAAGGUUUGAAAGCUUAACUUCAAAAAAUUGCCGUAGAAAACUUUUAAACUAAGAGGAUGGUAGGGGUAGAAGGGAAUUUCCAGUGGAGGCGGUGAAAUGUGUAGAUAUUGGAAAGACCACCGAUGGCGAAGGCACUCUACUGGGCCAUGACUGACACUGAGAGACGAAAGCUAGGGAGCAAAUGGG
rnacentral:rRNA from 1 species